rnacentral:rRNA from 1 species
UACGAAGGGGGCUAGCGUUGUUCGGAUUUACUGGGCGUAAAGCGCACGUAGGCGGAUCGUUAAGUCAGGGGUGAAAUCCUGGAGCUCAACUCCAGAACUGCCUUUGAUACUGGCGACCUUGAGGCUGGAAGAGGUUAGUGGAAUUCCUAGUGUAGAGGUGAAAUUCGUAGAUAUUAGGAAGAACACCAGUGGCGAAGGCGGCUCACUGGCCCGGUACUGACGCUGAGGCGCGAAAGCGUGGGGAGCAAACAGG